CUGAAGGUGCAGGAGAGAGGGGUGGAGGGAGCUGAAAAGAUUUGGGGGGUCGAAGGCGGCCAGAGGCCCGGCCCGUGGUGCAGAGAGCUCCCUCUCGGUCCUGCCCCACCCAAAGUGGAGUCAGAGCGAGCGAAAGAAUUCCCUAAAAGGGGACACGCCGCGACCCUGGGGGAAGCGGGGAAGAGGGAGGGGGGCCUCCGGGGGCUGCACUCGCGCUCGCCUCCCCCCCGCGACCCCCGGCCUCUCGCGGCACCUGCGCCCGCCCCGCGGAGCCCCUACCUGCCGCGCCCGGCGCCCCCGCUGACUCAGGCUGUCCGCUCCGGCGCGGCGGCGGCGGGGGCGUGGGAGCGGGCCGUGCCGGCCGGGGUGGGGCUGCGCCGCCGGGUCUCCCCGGGGACGGACGGGCCCCGGGAGCCGGGAACGAGGAAGCGGUGGCGGGCGGAAGUGGGGGAGGGGCGGCGGCGGGCACACGCGCUCCUCGCCGGGUGCCGGGCGGCCGCCGGGAGCCCCCACGGGCGCGGGCGCUCGCAGUUCCAGGGCGGGCAAAAAGUUCCAGGCACGCGUUCCGCCCCGCCACUCGCCGGGCCCCCUGGAUGCUCCGCCCGGCUCCGCGCGCUCCCGGACACUUGCUGCGCCCCGCCGGCCCGCGGGGACACGGCCCCCCGCACCCCGCCGCUCCCCGACCCCCCCGGGGGGCCCCGACGCAACCUCCGCGCGCCGCCACCCGGACUCCCCGGCACCCUCGGCCACGCUCCGCACUUUGAGGCGCGCACCCUUCGAGAAGGCGCUCGCGCGGGAAGAGGGUCUGGGGACCCGCGGCCGCCCAUCAAGGCAGAUCCAGAAACCUCCCGAUUCGGGGUGCGGGGCCGUCGGUCAGAGAUGCUUCUGCCGUGGGGUUACUCGAUCCUUCAUUCAGCAAACAUCCACGAGCAAGCCAGAAACUAGGAGUCAUCCCUGCCUUCUCCCUGUCCUCCGCUGCCUACAUUAAAAUACAUCUCCAUUAACUGUCGAUUCUCUUUCCCAAAUAAUCUUCGCAAUACACCGUUCGUCUCCGUUUCCACCACCAACCCUCGCGCGGCUCCAUUCUCUCUGGUUUUCUCUCUGGUCCGCUACGCUCCGUCCCCCGCAGCAGUGAGUCAUCACUAUAGAGUCCAGAGCACUAACCAAUGACCCACAUGGUCAUUUCAACACGCAGGUCUGAGAGGGGUGAAGUGGGGAGGGAGGGGGGAGUCAAGAGGGAGGGGACAUAUGUAUACCUAUGGCUGGUUCAUGUUGAUGUUUGGCGGAAACCAACACAAUAUCGUAAAGCAAUUAUCCUUCAAUUUAAAAUAAAUAAAUGUUUAAGAAACACACAGGUCUGCUGCGCCACCCUUUGUGAGAAUGAAAUCCGGGUGCUGAUAUCUAAGCUUAAAUCCCUCCUUUGUCAGAACGAAAUGCAGGUGCUGGUGUCUGAGCUGAGUCUUAAAUGAGUUCAACUGGCGGAGAAGAGGGGGAAGGGCAUACAGUAGGCUGGAGCGGAACGGUGGGGGUGGUGGCGGGUGUGAAGAGUUGUGACCCAUUCAGGCUUCUCUGUCAGGGGGCCAGCACUCUGUACAAAUACCUAAAGUUCUGCCUCUCCUAUUGUACUGAGAUCUCCAAACCAUCCUGGGAAAUAAAUACAGCAGGCAACUUUCCCAUUAUUUUACAAGCAAGGAAACUAGUUUGUGGCCAGCAACAAGUGCAGUAGUCAGGAGCACA
rnacentral:lncRNA from 1 species